GUGCUUACUCUUACAAACAUUUUUCCAGGUGCGUAGCACAUCUGGCUGGUUCUUGUUUUUUUGUGUCCUAAACAGGAGCAGAAUUUGGAAGGACAUUCUUGCCAUAAAAUCUUUAUUCCUGAACGUAUAUGAGCCAAGAAUGUCUUGCUGCCAAUUUAGGGACAGACUGUCAGCCCUGCUGGGAGCUAUAAGUAUAGACUGGGAUGCAGAAAGCAUCUGACCUG
rnacentral:lncRNA from 1 species